GUAAAAGAUAAUAAAAUAACUAAAAGAAACCCUUAUAGGGGAGGUCGUAUUUUGUCGAAGGGAGAGGAGCCGCCACAAAGAUGAAAGAAACUUGAGGAGGUGGUAUUGAGCCGCUAAAUAUAUAUAGAUAUAUAAAUAUACAAUAGAUCUUAUUCAUCAACAUACAGUUUUUCGUGUAGUCGUGAUUCGGGAAAAGAAAGAAAAUAAACCUUCUUCUUGUACCUUGAUUUCUAUUAUAGCUUUAGCAAUAGUAAUAAUAAUAAUAAUACGACAACUAAUUAGAAAAAGGGGGAUCGAUGACGCAAUUUCACUUUUUAUGGUUUCGCUAUUGUGUGAUGGGAUGGAUCAAAUCGAGAUGAUAAGCAGCCAAGUUUUGAUGGAGUUUCGAUUGUGUGGUCGAUAAACGAUUUCGAGGUAUUCAGGCAUUCGAGAAGUAAGGAGUUAAGUUUUGUUAUUACUACUAUCCACGAUGAGGUUAGGCAUUGAUCAGUGGCUAGUAGCUUGCUUGUGAGAUGGGUAGCUAUUAUUGGAGCUUUUGGACGUUGGCUUUAGUUACCCAUAGUUGCACUAUUUAAGUAGACUUAUUUAUUUAGCCCCUUUGGCUUUUAUUACGUUGACUGUCUUUGUUGAGGUUGAUUGUGGAUUUCAUUUACAUUAUUGUGAUUAUACUGGUUGGUAACACCUUUUUAAGACA